CUGAAGCAAUACCUGAUGAAGAGGUUCGAUAUGAAGGAUCUUGGAGAAGUCACGCACUGUCUGGGAAUCCGGAUCGCCAGAGAUCGUACAGAACGACGACUUUCGUUGGAUCAAGAAGCCUAUAUUGAGAAGAUAUUUCAGCGCUGACGGACGCUAGACCGGUAGCAACCCCCGCCCGAUUCAAGCAUUAAGCUCGAGAAAUCAGUGGCUCUUAAAACAGUUGCAGGGGCAAUGGAAAAGCGGAAAUUACCAUUCAAGGAAGCAGUCGGCUGUUUGUCUUUUGUGGCGCAAGCUACACAUCCAGACAUUGUGUAUGCAGUAAACGCCGUAAGGCAAUUUCUUGUCAAUCCUGGUAGACAGCACUGGCAUGCAGUCAAGCGUCCGAUAUGUGAAAGGGAUGUCCAAGAAAAACCUGGUAUACACGAAGGACGAAUGUGGACGAUUGCAAGGAUACAGCGAUGCCGAUUGCGGAGGAGACUUUGAUGAUCGAAGAUCCACGUCUGCCUACCUGUUUACCAUGCAAGGGGCGGCAAUAUCCUGAAGCGUCAAAAAGCAGCCAAUAGUAGCUCUUUCGUCGUGCGAGGCGGAAUACAGGUCGCUCUCGCGGGCAUUUCAAGAAGCUAUGUGGUGGAGGAAGUUGAAGCGUUGCCCAUCUACUGCGAUAAUCCGCCCGCAAUCAGCAUCGCAAGGAAUGGAUCCUACAACCCUAGGACAAAGCACGUGAGCACUCGUUACCAUUUUGUUCAUGAGUGCCUUGAACAGAACAACGUGAAGCUUGAGUAUAUCCCCACGACGGAUCAACCUGCGGACGGAUUCACAAAAGCGACAACCAUUCGGAGACAAGCUAAACUACGAUAAUUUGUAGGAUUCACGGAUUAGGAAGGUGUAUUGAAUGUAAUACGUUCAACCGAACAUACCGUUUUUCAUUAUGAAGACAAAAACAUGACAUAUCAUGACAUUUACAUGAUAUGAUAUUUUAAGAACACCUUCUGAUAUUGUUUCUCGGUUUUUACCUUAGAAUUCUUCCAGCUGUAAUGCUCUAAAUUGUUUAAUUAUUAUUUUCAUUUAAUUUAAUCACUUUUUUUCAAGUUCCUACAGGAGUCCCUCCUCUAAGAAUACUAUCGGGAUUAUUUGCAGGAAUUUCUCAAGAAAUUCCUCCACGAACGUCACCAGAUGUUUUUUUCCAGGAGUUCCUCUGUUUUCUUCUUUAGAUGUUCCUUGGAGCAUUAUCUAAACAGCUCUAUUUUUUUUUACUAUUUCCUUCGGGAAUUCAACUCUUUCCGGGAAUUUCAGCAGGAUUUACAGUGGAUUUUUUUUUUCGAGAUUGAACAAUCUCGCCAAAAGAUUCUCUACGAUUUAUUACAAGGGUUUUUAUGGGAAUUCUACCACAAGCUUGUUCAUUCGUUUUUCAGAAAAUUUUGGUAGGAAUUCCUCCAAGAGUUGCAUUGGAUUUUUUCCAUGGAAAUCUUUUAAAAGUUCAUCCGAGUUUUUUUUUCCAGAAGCUACUUAGGCAAUUUUCCGAAAUUCCUGAAGUCCAGGAGGAAUGAAUUUCCGGAGUUACUGUUAGAGAUCCUCUGGAAAGGCUUUCUGCAGAUAUUCUGAUACAAAUUUCCAAAGGGACUAAAAACUCCACAAGCAAUAAUUGAGAAUGGAAACCUGAUGGAAAUUUCCGGAGAUACAUACUUUGGGGGACGUUUUCGAGGAUGAAUCGGAGGUUCCUGGUUCUCCUUAACCUGAGGCUGCCCGAAAGUAAUUUCCAUCGGCACUUUUGUAGAAAUUCUUGAAUAUAUUUCUGGAGGGAAUCGCAAAAAUACCAAGGUAUUCUAAGUUACCAAUACAGGUCUGAGAGGAAUUUUCGAAGCAAUUAUGGAAGAGUUAGGAAUUUCAAGAGGUAUUUCCGCUUGUUUUCUUUGAGGAAUUCUUGGAACUGCUCAGGCAGAAAUCAGAGAUUUAUUUUUCAUAUUCCCAAUGCAAGUCUGACAAGGAGUUCACGCAACAAUUCUCAAUUCCCCAAUGGAUUCUCUGAAAAGAAUUCCCGGAAAUACACUAAAGUAUUCCUGAAGAUACUCUGAACGGAACCCCAGAGUUUAUCUGAGAAUAAUUCACUAAGGAGUUUCCGUAGUAGCUCUGGGAGUUGAUUUGGAAGGAAUUAUGGGAAGAAUUUCAACAGGUAUUAGGAGAGACUCCAGAACAAUUCUUGGAUCGGUGUUGGAAUGAUUCUGCGGAGGUACUCCGCCAAAGUAUAACCGGAGCUUCUCUGAAAGGAAUCCUCAGAAACUCCCUAAACUUUUGGAAGCAUAAUAUUGAAGAAACUCCUAGCACAAAUCCUCCAAGAAUGAUUAAACGAACCCAGAAGAACUUCUAAAAAAAAAUUCUCAGAGAAACUGCAUCUGAAAUUCUCGAAGAAGCUCCUGGAGAAACUGCAAGAGAAAAUAUUUGAGUAAUCUUUAGAAGACAUCUUGAAAAACAAAAACUCAAAGAAACUUUUAGUUGAACUCCUGGGUACAUUCAUGAAAAUGCGUAAAGAAACUCACGGAUGAACUUCUAAAGAAAUUCCUGGAGAAACUGUUGGAGGAAUUCAGGGUGAUAACUUGUGGAAUUCCUGAAGAAAUAUCAUAUGGAGCUUCUAUAGGAGUUCUUAAAAAUCACAGGUGGAACUCCUGCAAAAGUCUCAAGUGGAGUUCCUGAAUAAAAAAAACACAGAAUAUUCAGCAAAAAUCGCAGGGGAACUGCUGUUAAAUUUAAGGUGGAAAGUCUGGAUAAAUCUUAUGUAGAACUCAGGGAAAAAACCAGGUGGAACUGUUACAGAAAUCCCAGAUGGAACUGCUGGAAAAAGCCCAGGUGGAACUUCUGGAUAAAUCUCAGGUGCAACUUGUACAGAAAUCCCAAGUGCAACUCCUGAAAAAAUCACAAAAAAAAAUCCUGAAAACUCCAGGGAAAUUCCAGGUCAAACUCCUGGAGAAACCUAAGCUGGAACUUCUGACGGAUUCCUAGAUUGGACUUCCAGAGGAAUUUUAGGUGGAGCUCCUGAAGGAAACCUAGAUGGAUCCGCUGUAAAAAAUCCCAGGAGGUUCACCUGGUAGCGUUUCAAGAGAAACUGGAGUAUCGCCAGACCACUCACACAAGGAACCAAUGAGAUAUCUGUCGGGGACUAAAUAGGUAUCUUCAAUGUUUGAGUGUUGGUGAUCUUCUAUUAUUAGGCGACAAUGGCGCCUGCGCGUCAAGUUGCUGGUCAAUGUGGGGAAGGGAAACGAAGUGGUGACUGCAAUCGUUUGUAUUCACUGCAGACCAAAUAUACCUCUGCGCCUGCACAAAUUCAUGCGGAUGUCGGAGUUCGUAGGAUAUCGUUGGCAAAGGGUUCACACGUUGGUGCGUGGAUGCCAGGCGUAAGAUAAGAGAUUAGUGUGAUUAUAACUGUGAAGAUAAUGCGGCACAAUUCGCUUGAUUUCAUAACUCGUAGGGGUUCUCUGAUAUAUUGGCACUGUGCUGUGAAAGUUGGAAGGAAGGGAAACGGUCUCUACGCUAUCCUUGCUUCCGACGUACUGAUGGCAGAUGGAGUAUCACUAUGAUUCAAGAUUAUUUCCCUUCUCUUCCAGGUCUGCGAGCUGGACAUCAUCUUCAACUUCGAGAAGGCGUACUUCAUCCUGGACGAGCUGCUGGUGGGCGGUGAGAUCCAGGAAACGUCCAAGAAGAACGUCCUGAAGGCCAUCGCGGCCCAGGACGUCCUCCAAGAGGACGAAACGCCGCAGGGAUUUUUCGAGGAUCACGGUCUUGGAUAGACCGCUGCGCACAGCCGUGGCCGCCAUCAGGGCCCGCAAAUACCCUCUUGAAAAUGAGAAAACGAAAGAAAGCCUCACACGUCAACAACCAUUUUUUUCUUGCAUCAUCACUAUUAAUCGAGUAGGUUAGGUUAGCUUUGCCUGGUUUACCAUUUUGUCCGCCCCUCCACGCGGUAGUCGUCGUCAUCGGUGUUAUUUGUUGGCCGUUCUCGACGGUUGGAGGAUCGAUUUCAAGUAUUAGUGGCAAUUAGUUUGCGAAACUGCAUUUUUAGCGUUAAAAACCACCAACAGAGGGGACAUAUCAAAAUCAUCCUUGGUUAUCGAUUGGCACACGAUUUUUUUUUGAGUACUUAUUUACACUAGAUAAAAAAGACAUCGUAAAGAAUGAUUAUGAAUCUUAUAGUUUUAGUGAUUUAGAAAUGGAUCGAAUUUUGCGUGAUUCAAGCUUCAUAUUACCAUCACUCACAUUAGUCGUUAUCUUAUCCAACGAAGCGUGAAUCUCCAGUUAUCUUACAACUUCUGAUGAAGUGCACAAAAGUUAUUUUUAUCAAUAUAACAUACACUAAGUAAAACAUUCGCAAUUACGUUUCAUCCGGAUUUAAUCGAAUAAUUUCAAAUGUGAUAGGCGUUGACCUAGGAAGAAUCGUCAAAAGUUUUAUUUCUGCGAACAACUCAUCGCAACUGGCAAAGUAUAAUACAUUUCGCUUCAGUUUACACAA